UCACCCCUCUCUCUUCUUCAUUACCUUCUCCUCUCUCAUCUUCUUCAUCCGCCGCCUCACGUUCCUCUCCUGCCAUCCCACACUCUCCUCCACUUACCCUGUCCCCCACGCCUCUGUCACCCACUCACCUCUGUCCCCCGCUCUCGUCUCUCUCCUACGCUCCCUUUUCUCUUCUCUUUAAACCCUAAUGACAGUCUUAUAAAUAGGGAGAGCAUUUUCAUAAAUGGGGGAGAGUGUUUUCGAGGAUUCCAUGGUUUCCUUGACAGUUUUAAAAAUUCAAAAACCUUAUUUCUGUUUGCUCUUUUAUUAUUUUGAAGUCGGGUCUAUAAGAGAAUUCAGGGAUUCAACACCGAUUAGGUAUUGAACGUUGAUUAGGGAGAUUAUUAGAUACGGAGUAUUGUUAUCACUAAGUCUUAAGUUUCUUUUAUCCUGUUCUUGGUUUUUAUUAAAAUCAGAAAAAUACUUUUGUUGAAGAUGCGAGAUUUGUGACGAAGUUAAGUUCUUGACGCUUCGAUUAACUUUCGUCGUUGCUCGGCGAUAAUUUUAAUUACGACGGAAGUACUUUAAUUAUUGACUCGAGUCGCAAACCUGUCGACGCGAGAGUAGAUUCGAGGCUUUGACAUCCCCACUUCACUGUACCACAAAAGGUAAUAUCAUCUGCUGUUUAGUUUCUUUAGCGGAUAAUGUUGUGUUGAAAUCGUGUUUGGACUUGAAACCGGGUAGGUUUUGUUGAUGUUUAUUAUUUCAAAAUAAUUUCUUAAUUCUGUGUUUUUUUUUGUAUUAUUUGGAGUUCAACAUGGCUUGGUUUAUUUGACAAUAGUCUUAGCUUCACUUUGUUUUGGUACUGUGAGUCGUCGUUUUUUUUUGUGUGUUCGCUGUUUUGUUAGAAAUAUCCGUCAGUCGCUGCCUAGGUAGAAAUUAUGUCCCUAGGGAUCAUUCGUUUUUUAGCAUUACAAUCUUAAAGAGAACGUCUUUGUUUGGAGUUGAUAUGUGAAUGGGUGCUAUCCAGUAUACCUAAGUGCCGUUAAUAGAAUGUACAUUCCCCUGUUUUGUAUGACAUUAAAGCUUCAAAUAUCAUGUACAACUUCAGGCAUGUUGUCGGCGGUCUGCUUUGUUCAUAGUUGAUUAGGAACAUAAAUGAAAUGUCCAAAUCCGUCUAUCUGUCGAGAAAUAUAAGCUCAGUUUGUAUAGGUAGAUGUUUCAGUUUGUUUUCUCUUCCCUUCUAUAGGAAUUAAACUAAGGGUGAUUUUUCUUCGAUAAGUGAUAAAUACUUUGGCUAAAGUUUCUAUUAAAAGGUUGCAAGCUUCAUCUCUCUUUAAACUUUCAUUUAUGUCCUGUUUCCAACUUUAUGUGAGUCAAGUUUUGUUUGGAUUACUCAGUUAAUAUUUUUUUUCCUCAUUGGUCUUCUAUUCGAAAAUGAUGUCUGGUAAUACUUUAAGAUCAAUCUCCCCUUUAAACUUGUCGAAAUCUGAUUUUUGAGUUUUGUUCUAAUGGACAUAGAGAAUCUCUGUUUCGAAUAGAUUAUUACUCGAAGGUGUUUUAUGUUGCAAAAGUGUUAAGUCGUCUGUAUUUCAAACGCAAAAUAUCAUCCUCUGUUCAAGUCCCAUCUUUUCAGUGAAUAUAUUUUAGUCAUGGGCUGUAAUUGGUUUUAUUCAAUCUUGUUUGGUAUUUGAAGAAGUUUGAUUUGAUGCUGCUAAAUAUUAGAACCUGCUUCAAGUGACUGUUGCUUUGCCUAGAUUUCCUUUAAGUUUAACAAUGUCGGGCUGUCGGUUUGCAGACUUAGCGGGUGUGUGUUAAAAUCAGAAGUCAUUGUUUUUCGUUUAAUCUGAAUUUGCGGUUGUCGUAUAAAGGAUUUUCUAUUAUGUGUCCAGCGAGAAAGAAAGAAAAGAAUUAUCAAGUCAUUACGUUACUUGAAAAAUGGAAUGGGGUCAAAAUUUAGUUCAGUCAGUGUUUGGAAUUAAUAUUGGCUUUGUUUGAAGUAAACUCAUGUGAACACAAUGUUAGUAAUAAUAUUCCUACUUAAGUGUGGAGCUUAAUCGUUUUGUAUGCCUUUGGUCUCUCUCUAUAUGACAAUGAUGUGCUGAGUAGGAAUAGGAUUCAUCUCUGAGUUUAAAUAUUGACUUGUGUAAAAAUAAAUUAGAUAGGCAGAUGGUACACUGAUAUACACCAGUCAUGGCAGCCCCGUGUGUUUAUAAGGUAGCACAUCGUCUAAGUAAGCCCGCGAUUGUAAAGUCUUUGCCCUUCCAGUGUUUUGAUUAAGAGCCCGUUUGGAUUGGCUUAUAAGUUGGCUUAUAAGCUGUUUUCAGCUUUUUUGAGUGUUUGGCUGGCCAGCUUAAAGUCAUUUUAUGCUUAAAAUAAGCUCAAAAAAAUAAUUGAACCCAUUUGACUUAGUUUAUCUAAAGCAGCUUAUAAGCUGAAAACAGCUUAUAAGCCAAAAAAAAUAAGUUGGACUACCCCAACUUAUUUUUUUCAGCUUAUAAGCUGCAAACAGCUUUAAGCUGUAAGCCAAUCCAAACGGGCUCUAAAGCUUGUUCCUUUCUAUAUUCUGUUGGGUUUGGUUUUGUCCCUUGAUCAUUUAAACCCCUCUGGCUGCCACUAUUCACGCAACUUCCUUUAUCUAAAUUUCUGCUGUUACUUUUCUUUUUCCUUUUUUAUACAUUUGAAGUAUAGGUCUUAUAAAUCUUCACCGUACUAAUCCUUUUCUUUUGUUUUAUGCAUGAUCAUCUCACAUACGAGUCCGAGGAACUUGUCAUCCCCGCAUUCGGCGUUGGGCUAAAGCCCAACAAAAUCUUCUCCCUCUGUUCCAGUCUCUCUGUCCGCAGCUAAGGAGAUAAAAAAUGAGGUUCUGGGCCGAAGCCCAAAUAGAAAAUAAUAGUCGCAGCAGUCCAUGAAAGUGGGCUGAGCCCACUUCCGGUUUUGUUGUGCGCACUAGCUACAAUAAGAUAAAAAAACAGCACUGACGAGCAAAAAAAUGAGUGUGCUGAGGGGCAAUGACUUUCUCGCAGCUGACGCGCUCUUGCUUCUUGCUGUAAACUGGUCCUUUUUCAUUCUUGAUGUUUACUUGCUAUAGUCCAACUUAGAAAUUGCAAAGGAGCUAUUGGGUGAUCUUCAAUCUGAUUAGUAUUCAAUACUUCUACUUUAGUUUGAUUAGAUUUCAUUGGUUGAAUAAUGGUAAUCCCAGUUUGUAUAAUUAUGUAUUUAUAAAGUUUGUUGUUGGGUAUUGUGACGUUUUGGUGAUGAAAUAGUUAAUUUAUUGAUUAAUUGUAUCUCUAA